GACGAACCGUGCGAACGUUGUUCGGAUUCACUGGGCUUAAAGGGCGCGUAGGCGGGUGAUCAAGUCAGGGGUGAAAUCCUCCAGCUCAACUGGAGAACAGCCUCUGAUACUGGUCAUCUGGAGGAAGGUAGGGGCAUGUGGAACUUCCGGUGGAGCGGUGAAAUGCGUAGAUAUCGGAAGGAACGCCGGUGGCGAAAGCGACGUGCUGGACCUUUUCUGACGCUGAGGCGCGAAAGCCAGGGGAGCAAACGGG
rnacentral:rRNA from 1 species